GGUCUGGCCCAGAACGGAACUGGAAAGAAGUCAGGAUCUGGAGCAGUAAGGUCUGCAGAUAUCUGGGCAGUUUGCUGGAACACAACUGGGGUCAUGUCUGCAAAUCUCACAAUGAGUUCCCAUCCACAGCCUCAGCAAAGGGCAGGUGUGUCCCCAGAGAACGUCAGCUGAUUGGACAGCAGUCUGCAGCAGAAGGUGAAACCCCUAAUUUGGAAGGAAUUGAAACAUGAAAAGAUGCUGAGAUCACAAUGAAAACAGAGACAAAGUCCUCUGGGG
rnacentral:lncRNA from 1 species